AGAGUUUGAUCCUGGCUCAGGACGAACGCUGGCGGCGUGCUUAACACAUGCAAGUCGAACGGAAAGGCCCUGCUUGCAGGGUACUCGAGUGGCGAACGGGUGAGUAACACGUGGGUGAUCUGCCCUGCACUUCGGGAUAAGCCUGGGAAACUGGGUCUAAUACCGGAUAGGAGCCAUUUUUAGUGUGAUGGUUGGAAAGUUUUUUCGGUGUAGGAUGAGCUCGCGGCCUAUCAGCUUGUUGGUGGGGUAAUGGCCUACCAAGGCGGCGACGGGUAGCCGGCCUGAGAGGGUGGACGGCCACAUUGGGACUGAGAUACGGCCCAGACUCCUACGGGAGGCAGCAGUGGGGAAUAUUGCACAAUGGGCGCAAGCCUGAUGCAGCGACGCCGCGUGGGGGAUGACGGCCUUCGGGUUGUAAACUCCUCUCGCUAGGGACGAAGCUUUUUGUGACGGUACCUAGAUAAGAAGCACCGGCUAACUACGUGCCAGCAGCCGCGGUAAUACGUAGGGUGCGAGCGUUGUCCGGAAUUACUGGGCGUAAAGGGCUCGUAGGUGGUUUGUCGCGUCGUCUGUGAAAUUCCGGGGCUUAACUCCGGGCGUGCAGGCGAUACGGGCAUAACUUGAGUACUGUAGGGGUAACUGGAAUUCCUGGUGUAGCGGUGAAAUGCGCGAUAUCAGGAGGAACACCGAUGGCGAAGGCAGGUUACUGGGCAGUUACUGACGCUGAGGAGCGAAAGCAUGGGUAGCGAACAGGAUUAGAUACCCUAGUAGUCC
rnacentral:rRNA from 1 species